UGCGUAGGCGGGUUUUUAAGUCAGAGGUGAAAUCCUGGAGCUCAACUCCAGAACUGCCUUUGAUACUGAGAAUCUUGAGUAUGGGAGAGGUGAGUGGAACUGCGAGUGUAGAGGUGAAAUUCGUAGAUAUUCGCAAGAACACCAGUGGCGAAGGCGGCUCACUGGCCCAUAACUGACGCUGAGGCAAAGACUGGGGAGCAAACA
rnacentral:rRNA from 1 species